rnacentral:rRNA from 1 species
GAUGAACGCUGGCGGCGUGCUUAACACAUGCAAGUCGAACGGUGAACGAGGGAGCUUGCUCCCUCCGGAUCAGUGGCGAACGGGUGAGUAACACGUGAGCAAUCUGCCCUGGACUCUGGGAUAAGCGUUGGAAACGACGUCUAAUACCGGAUACGAGGCGUGGGGGCAUCCCCAACGCCUGGAAAGAACUUCGGUCCAGGAUGAGCUCGCGGCCUAUCAGGUAGUUGGUGAGGUAACGGCUCACCAAGCCGACGACGGGUAGCCGGCCUGAGAGGGUGACCGGCCACACUGGGACUGAGACACGGCCCAGACUCCUACGGGAGGCAGCAGUGGGGAAUAUUGCACAAUGGGCGCAAGCCUGAUGCAGCAACGCCGCGUGAGGGACGACGGCCUUCGGGUUGUAAAGCUCUUUCACCGGAGAAGAUAAUGACGGUAUCCGGAGAAGAAGCCCCGGCUAACUUCGUGCCAGCCGCCCGCGGUAAAAC